AUUGAACGCUGGCGGCAUGCUUUACACAUGCAAGUCGAACGGUAACAGGUUAAGCUGACGAGUGGCGAACGGGUGAGUAAUGCAUCGGAACGUGCCCGAUCGUGGGGGAUAACGCAGCGAAAGCUGCGCUAAUACCGCAUACGAUCUGAGGAUGAAAGCGGGGGACCGUAAGGCCUCGCGCGAUCGGAGCGGCCGAUGUCAGAUUAGGUAGUUGGUGGGGUAAAGGCCCACCAAGCCGACGAUCUGUAGCUGGUCUGAGAGGACGACCAGCCACACUGGGACUGAGACACGGCCCAGAAUCCUACGGGAGGCAGCAGUGGGGAAUUUUGGACAAUGGGCGAAAGCCUGAUACAGCAAUGCCGCGUGCAGGAAGAAGGCCUUCGGGUUGUAAACUGCUUUUGUACGGAGCGAAAAGGUCCUUUCUAAUACAAGGGGCUCAUGACGGUACCGUAAGAAUAAGCACCGGCUAACUACGUGCCAGCAGCCGCCGUAA
rnacentral:rRNA from 1 species